CGUGUUCUAAAAGCUUAUGUUGACAGCUGUCAUCAACGAAAGCUUCACCCAAUCCGCUGAUUUAACAGCUAAGCUUUGCGGAGCUAAGCUUUGAUUCUGUCAGCAUAAUUUAUCUAACUUUAUCGCAUGCGAUAAUAUCAUUCGCUGCUUGUAAUUAUUUUGUGUUCAGCUGCAACUCCCAGCGCCACUACACAUACGCCCACCUUUCCACACACGGCGUCUCCAUUUCCGCAAUCUCGGGUCCCGGCACUUUACAAAUUUCUUUGUAAGGUGGCCCUGGAGAGGCUGAGCUACCUCAGCCUUCGAAAAGACUACCUUACAAACAUCGUAUAAUCUGUUCAAUUAAGCCAAACCAUCAAACGGAAUAAACUAUGUAUAACUUUAAAUAAAUAAACCGUCAGUGUCCUUUCUUAAAAAGAGGACUCUGCAAUUUUUGGAGGCUGUCUCUAAUCGUAGAUCAACGUGCCAAAAGUUGGCUGAUUUGGAAGCACCAAUAAUGACAAUACUCUGCUCGGCGUGCCUUUACUAUCCUGAAACUCUUCGCAGAGAUCACUGGAAUUGACUUCAAGCUGAUUUCAAAUCUUAAGACAAUCUUGACAAUCUUAGGACAAUCUUGUCUCUCAAGUCAGUUGACUUUAAAUGUGGUCAAAUAUUAAACAUUUUGCUUUAAUACUGCGGAAUCUAUUGUUGACCUGUAUCCAUGGCUCCCGAUGACUGCCACCGUUCACAAAAUUCUUCACCAUUCAAAAUAAAUAAUUGAAAACACUGUUCUACCUGUGGGAUAUUUUGCAGAGUCGGAUCAACUUCAUCAUGCAAGGAAGAUCAGCCGAAAAGAAAAUUUCACGGACAUGUUCCACAGGUCUAUGGAUACCUCAGAUACGAUAAUUUCAUCUUUAAACCUCGUCAGGCGUAUACAAAUGCAACAAAAUAAGUCCCUACCAACUGAGGCUUUAAAUCUUUUAUCAAGCGAGUUUAAUAGUUCAGGAAGAGUUGAACAGGAUACAAUUAGUUUCGAUGAGCUGGCUGAAUAUCAGUUCGAAUUUGGAAGUAGGAACAUGGACCACGAAAACGAAUUCCAAGAGGAUUCUACACAGGUGUGAUAGAAAACAUAUUAUAUAUCGUCGCCUAGCAACAAAUUUGGAAAAAAGUAAAUGUAAAAACAAAUGUAAAAUUUAAAAUUUAAAAAAAACCGUUAAGGUACAGAUGUUCUACCGAGUACCGGGUAUAAAAGUUGUGACGCGUAUCACACGUUCCUUCUCGUUAUUUCUGUACCUGUAAGCAUAGACAUAUCCAUGGAUUUAUUAUCAUUUGAGGCUGAGAAUGUGGCAUCACUAUCGCCAUUGGGAUAUAGCCAUCACGGGCUUAUAUACCCGCGCGUAUAGGGACAAUAGGGAGCAGUUGUUCCCAACCAUUGAGGAAAUAAAUCCACCGGACAAUGUGCGCGCCGUCAACGUUCAAAAGAUGACACAAAUCCAGGCUGUAGUACGACGCAAGUUGGCCCUGGACGGAAUCCCAUUCAGCCUGACACGCACAUAAAUAGUGGAAGGCUGGAGGUGUAUGGACAAUCCCCUAAAAAAUAUUCUGGAGGUAUUCCGGAAAAUUAAUAUAAAUCAUCCUGACAUAUUGUCAAACACGUUGGCCUCUAUUCAAAUUUUCAGCUGGGUUCUGAGCAUGAUGGUGAGCUUGAUGGACCCCAGGGACUAGCACCUAAUCGAAAAUAAAAUCAAAUACUUUUUCCGACUUUACUAUUUAAUUCCUAUUACAGAGAAUAGAGACCCUCAUAUGCAUAUCCAGUCGAGAGUGUUUGUGAAGUAGGACUAAGAGACCUGCAGUACUUAGAAGUAGAAAUCUAAGGUUGUGCGGCAGCCUCUUUCCCCCCUUUUCGGGGAUUGUGUGAGUAGAGCGUGUGAAUACAUAUACAGACACAUAUUAACGCGCUGAUUUUUUAUUCAUUAUUCAUUUACCAUAUCAUUGGGUGAUAAUUUCAAAGAUAUUGCAGAUUAAUAUUAUAAUUUACUAUGUCGUCCGCUAAUAAAAAAGACAACAGCAAAACAAGUAGGAGAUGCAUUAUUUCUUCCUGUCUUUGUGGUUAUAGAAAGAGUUCGUCCGAUUUCCCUGUGAGGCUAUUUUCAUUUCCAAAAGAUCCAUUUUUAUUAUAAAAUGGAUUGAGGCUUGUAAUGUAGAAAGAAGGAUUGUAAAAAAAUGUUCACCCGUUUCUGAAAGGCAUUUUGAGGCUGGGUGGUUAGGAAGCCUUCAACUAAAACCGAAUGCAAUUUCAACAUUAAACUUAUCUGAAAAUUCAUUAUUAACUCCAACGCAGAAUGUCCAAUAGGACAUUUUGAGAGGACCAAAAAAUUAGCUUGGCUGAUGUGCCAGUGCCAUUUUCAAACGAUGUAGAGCAACUUUGCGUAAAAGAAGCGCCUGAAGCUACAUUUCAAAAUAAUGAAUCGGUUGAUAUUGAGUUUUGUGAGAACUGCUUAAAAAAGGGGAAAAACUAGGCAUAUUGGCUGAUCAACGAAAAAAAUAGGUAGGCUUUUAAAAAUCGAAGAAGCAGUUUGUGGCCUUAAAAAGAGUUUUGUCUCGCAAGAACAGGCGUCUCAGAAGUAGAAAGCCUAACUCAAAAUCAAGUAUUAUUCCUAUAAUUGCCAAGCUGUCUCAUGUUUCUGCGGAAGCAAAAACUCAUAGACUUAAGCCACUGCCACUACCUUAAACUGUUUUCCGUAUAACUUUUUUGAACAUAGUUCAUAUUAUGUCCCUAAUAUGUCACAAAUUGAUCUAUCUGGCCAUACUGUGUGUCAGUUUUGCCUGCCUCUGAUUUAAGUAUUAGGCCCUGCUGUGUUCCCCAAGCUUUGCAUGCCUCAGCUGUUCUGUUUCCUAGUCAUUCAGUUUUUUAUUUUUUGAUUAAUCUCGAGCACAGUAAUAACUCUAAAAAAUAAAAUUAUUUUCAAUACGGCUAAUUUUAUUGUGUGAAAAAAAAGCGCUGGAACAAACAGAUACUGAUAGGAACUAGAAACCAGAGAUUGAACGCCAAGUACAGGUAACAGGAGGCAGCCGUUAUUAUUCAAGAGAGACAAGAAGCAAGAGGACAUACGACAAGUGGCCGAUGUUGUGCAUCGGUCCGGGCGUAUCCAAAACCGAAAUUUAGAAAGAUUAGAAAAUAUAGUAAACGCACAUAUUACACAACAGCAGCAAAUGGCGAAUACUAUUAGUCGGUCGAGGCGGAGAUGCAACCAAAGGUAUAGGGCCAGAGAGCAUGCAUUAUAUCACUUCUUUCACCAACACGCUCAUUUGAGCAGCCACUUCUUAGAGCCGAUACAGCACGAGGCAUGUGGUUGAUCAAAAGACAGAAGGAGCAUGCACUAUAUCACUUCUUUCUCCGACUUGAGCAGCCACUUCUCAGAGCCGAUACAGCACGAGGCAUGUGGUUGAUCAAAAGACAGAAGGAGGCAUGUGGUUGAUCAAAAGAAAGAAGGAGGCAUGUGGUUGACCAAAAGACAGAAGGAGGCCGAGUGGUUGACCAAGAAACAUGCAUUUAUCACUUCUCACUAGUUUUGCCAAUUAAGCAGUGUGACCGCAAAAUUAUCGACAAAAUAUACCGUAAGGGCGUCGAAAAUAUACCGAAAUAUACUUUUUAUUGUUAAAAUAUGCC
rnacentral:lncRNA from 1 species